UGGGGAAUAUUGGACAAUGGGCGCAAGCCUGAUCCAGCCAUGCCGCGUGGAUGAUGAAGGCCUUAGGGUUGUAAAGUCCUUUCGGCGGGGAAGAUAAUGACGGUACCCGCAGAAGAAGCCCCGGCUAACUUCGUGCCAGCAGCCGCGGUAAUACGAAGGGGGCUAGCGUUGCUCGGAAUCACUGGGCGUAAAGCGCACGUAGGCGGAUUUCUAAGUCGGUGGUGAAAUCCUGGAGCUCAACUCCAGAACUGCCUCCGAUACUGGGAGUCUUCGAGUCCGGGAGAGGUGAGUGGAACUGCGAGUGUAGAGGUGAAAUUCGUAGAUAUUCGCAAGAACACCAGUGGCGAAGGCGGCUCACUGGCCCCGGUACUGACGCUGAGGUGCGAAAGCGUGGGGAGCAAACAGGAUUAGAUACCCCAGUAGUCCCUGAGCGGGCUGGCAAGGCGCAU
rnacentral:rRNA from 1 species